rnacentral:lncRNA from 1 species
AGCCUCGGCCGUGCGGGCACGCCGGCCCCGUGUCCAACAUCAGGCAGGCUUUGGGGCUCGGGGCUCGGGCCUCGGAGAAGCCAGUGGCCCGGCUGGGUGCCCGCACCGGGGGGCGCCUGUGAAGGCUCCCGCGAGCCUCUGGCCCUGGGAGUCAGUGCAUGUGCCUGGCUGAAGAAGGCAGCAGCCACGAGCUCCAGGCGCCCCGGCCCCACGUUUUCUGAAUACCAAGCUGCAGGCGAGCUGCUCGGGGCUUUUUUGCUUUCUCGCUUUUCCUCUCCUCCAAUUCAAAGUGGGCAAUCCACACCGAUUUCUUUUCAGGGGAGGGAAGAGACAGGGCCUGGGGUCCCAAGACGCACACAAGUCUUCGCUGCCAUGGGGGCCGUCAUGGGCACUUUCUCCUCCCUGCAGACCAAACAAAGGCGACCCUCUAAAGGUAAGCACUCUGUCCUCUAUUUACUCCCCUGGAUAGGUUUGGGGGCACUGGGUGUUGUGUUGGGAUGAAACGUCUGUCUCUCUUAGUUCCAAACCCACUGUCCGUGAGGGUUUUGGACAACCUCAUGAAUCCAAGGAAUUAAGAGCCUCGUGGGAGGGUUGGUGUGAACACCCAGGGGUAGCAGCCGAAGUGGACGCUGGCCCCAGCAGGGGUGUGGGUACCCUUCUCUUCUAGGGAAUGUAUUGGAGCAAGACAGGCAGAUUCACAGGUGGAGAAAACUGCGUUCUCUGGGGUGGGCGGAAAUGUUGGGAGGCUCUUCCCACUCCCAUGAGGGCUGAUGUUGGUGCAACCUCGAACAUCCAGCAAGGGUGCCUCCUUGGGAAUGGCCAUGCCUUGCCAGGUGCUGACUUGGGAAUCUAAUCAUGAGGAAAACGGUGAUUUACCGGUCCAUCCUUAAAACCUCUGCAAGCCAAAAGGAAUCAGCUACGUCCAGGUGGUAGAGCCCCCAGGCGGGUCCUGGGACACAAGCAGUCUGUAGGAAAAAACAAAUAGCAGGGCUGUGCUGCUAUGGUGGUCUGAGGACUUCAGAGGAAUGGGGAGAACUGUCAAAAGGGGGGCUGGGGCGACAAGCUCACAUAUCCUGAGAUGUCCCUGUCAGGAGCCUGCCUUUCUCCAGCUGUGGCAUGCCCAUCUUCAGUGGGACAGUUAUUAGAUGGCCACGUGGAGUCAAGUGACCUUGUUGGGCCAAAAGCACACAAUGCAGGCCCCCUUUUCAACAGGCAGAAAGUUGCUUAUAGAAACAAGAAGACUGGAAACAAAUC